rnacentral:lncRNA from 1 species
GUUCAAUUAUUAACGAAAAAAUGUCUAAGUAGAAAUUAAGAUUCAUUUGAAUUUGAUUAAGAAAAUAAAGGAAAAUACAAUGGAGUUUUGACUCCAAGGUUUAUUAGGAAAGAUUUGAGUGAUGGAAUUAAUUUGCUUUGAAAAAUGAACAUUUUCUAAGCAUCGCGUCUCCUAAACAUACAUCUAAAACGGUAAACAUACAACGUGUGUGCGUGUCGGUGCUUGUGUCGGUGUACAUCACUAUAGAGAGUCCAUUGUCCUUUACAUUGCCCUAGUUUACAUGCUAUGGUCUUGUAAGGAAUUAAAAGGAAAUUAAACUACCUAAAAUUACAUGUCCAUUUGACAUAGAAAUUGAAAAGGUAAAGUGGCUAAACUAUGAGAGAUGGGGAUGAAAUGGUAAAAUGCUCAAGAAAUGGAUGAAAAAUGAAAUAAAAUGGUUAGUAGUAUAAGGCAUAAAAUGGUAAGAAAAAAGUAAGCAAUUGAAUAUGAGAUAAAACGGCAAAAUGACGACAAUAACCAAAAUAUAAAAGGAAACACAUUACUUGAAACACAAGAAACUAACAAAACAUAUUAAAAACAGUAACACAAGCAUAUGAUCAGUAGCAUAUUCAUCACAAGAUUGCAUAUUAAUCACUCAUACCAUGGAUCAAGAUAUUAUGAACAAAAAGUGGCAAGAAAUUGCACAAAAUUCCACUAGAAAAGAAGAAAAACAAUCAAGAAAAUACACAUAUAUUUUUAUCAAUUUUUGACAUGUAAAAACAACACAAAGAUAUCAAAAAUGCAUUAAAGAACACAUAGGGAUCUUUUAGGAAUUUUAUGAGAAAAAUUGAACAAGCAGAGGUUCAAACAGCAAGCAAACAAGGUGUGAAUAGCAAGAAAAUAGCAAGAAAACAAAGAAAACCAAAGACAGAGGCCCAAGCCCAACGCCUAAAAGCCUGGGUGCACAGGAACCACAGGAUUGAUCCAGGGAAUCAAACCCUAGAUCAAACGGCCAGGAUUGAAGGGAAAUGGACCGGUUUUGGACCGGUCCGGUUCACUGGCCUAUAUAUAUGUAAAGACACCGGUUUAUUUCAUUUGCAAUACUCCUUUCUCUCUCUAACUCCCUCGCUCUCUCACUAGCCUCUCGUCUUCUCUCUUCUCUUCGCCGGUUUCUGGAAGGAGACGGCCGGAGAAGAUGAAGAUUCAUCGGAAUCUUCAUCGACUCCGCCGUGAAUUCCAGAUUCCGGCGAGCCCUAACCUCACCAGAAAAUCAUGAAUCCUACAUCAAUCAACUCGUUUCUUCACCCUAAACAUGAAUCUAACGCCAGAAAUCACAUGCAAGGCUUGAAUCUUUGUAGAUCUACAUUCUUUGUUACGGUUUUGAAAAUUAUUUUUUUUAGGUUUUCAAAUUCUUUGAAAGAAACUGUUUGAAACCUUGAGGAUCUACAUGGAUUCGUCCUUAUUGAUGCUUUUUAAGAAAGAACGGUGGAGUUAUAUGUUUACCUGUGAUUUAAUCGGAGAUUUCGAACAAGAUUUUUUAGAAAUCUUCGAUUUGAUUCUGUUUGUUGAUUUUUGACUUGAAACCGAAAAUAAAUCGGUGUUUCUUGCUGGUUUGAUUCCUUCUUCUUCUUCACCGGAUCAUAUUCUUCAUCUUCUUUCUUUCUUCUUCUUCUUCAAAAACUCUGUGAUCGUGCUUGAGUUUGUCACCACUUGGUGAUGAAUUCGCACUUGAAUUGCAGAGGAAAACGAUUCAAU